GUUCUGGGCCGCACGCGCGCUACACUGACAAAGCCAGCGAGUUCUUCCUUGGCCGGAAGGCCUGGGUAAUCUUGUGAAACUUUGUCGUGAUGGGGAUAGAGCAUUGCAAUUAUUGCUCUUCAACGAGGAAUACCUAGUAAGCGUGAGUCAUCAGCUCGCGUUGAUUACGUCCCUGCCCUUUGUACACACCGCCCGUCGCUACUACCGAUUGGAUGGCUUAGUGAGGUCUUUGGACUGGACCCAGGGAGCCGGCAACGGCACCCCGGGUCCGGAAAAUUGCACGAACUUGGUCAUCUAGAGGAAGUAAAAGUCGUAACAAGGUUUCCGUAGGUGAACCUGCGGAAGGAUCAUUAGUGAUAAUCGGGCGUCUUUGGAGCCCAAACUUCACUCUUCAAACACCUGUGCACCGUUACCUUUUUUUUUUUAUAACACAAGUCCUCAGGAUGUCAUCGUUUACUAUAAACAAAAUAAAACUUUCAACAACGGAUCUCUUGGCUCUCGCAUCGAUGAAGAACGCAGCGGUGAAUUGCAGAAUUCAGUGAAUCAUCGAAUCUUUGAACGCACCUUGCGCUCCCCUGGUCAUUCCGGGGAGCAUGCCUGUUUGAGUGUCAUAAUACUCUCAACCCCUGGGGUCUUUUAAACGGACCACCUCGGGCUUGGAUCAUGGACGCUGCCGGCCCCCUCGGGGGUGUGGCUCGUCUGAAAUACAUGAGCUGACCUGUCUGCGAACAGCACGGUUUGACUCGGCGUAAUAAAUCCAUUUUUCGUCGGGGACACCCUUUGCGGGGUGGCCGGGCUCGCGGUCUUCGGGUUGCUUACAAUCGAAUAGUCCCAUCUAUUUUAGACCUCAAAUCAGGUAGGAUUACCCGCUGAACUUAAGCAUAUCAAUAAGCGGAGGAAAAGAAACUAACAAGGAUUCCCCCAGUAACGGCGAGUGAAGUGGGAAGAGCUCAAAUUUUGAAUCUGGCAGCCUCGCUGUCCGAGUUGUAAUCUCUAGAAGUGUUUUCCGCGCUGGCCCGUGUAUAAGUCUGUUGGAAUACGGCGUCAUAGAGGGUGAGAAUCCCGUCCUUGACACGGACAACCAGUGCCUUGUGAUACACUCUCGAAGAGUCGAGUUGUUUGGGAAUGCAGCUCAAAAUGGGUGGUAAAUUCCAUCUAAAGCUAAAUAUUGGCGAGAGACCGAUAGCGAACAAGUACCGUGAGGGAAAGAUGAAAAGCACUUUGGAAAGAGAGUUAAACAGUACGUGAAAUUGUUGAAAGGGAAACGCUUGAAGUCAGACGUGCGGGCGGAACUCAGCCUUCCUUCGGGUCGGUGUAUUUUCCGUCAUGCAGGCCAGCAUCGGUUUCGGGCGCCGGAUAAGGGUCGGGGGAAUGUGGCUGCUCCGGCAGUGUUAUAGCCCCCGACUUGAUACGGCGCCCGGGACCGAGGGACGCAUUUUUAGGAUGCUGGCAUAAUGGCUUUAAACGACCCGUCUUGAAACACGGACCAAGGAGUCUAACAUGCUUGCGAGUGUUUGGGUGGCAAACCCGGGCGCGCAAUGAAAGUGAAUGGAGGUGGGAUCCGUAAGGUGCACCAUCGACCGGUCCUGCGUUUCGACAAUGGAUCUGAGUAAGAGCACGUAUGUUGGGACCCGAAAGAUGGUGAACUAUGCCUGAAUAGGGCGAAGCCAGAGGAAACUCUGGUGGAGGCUCGUAGCGGUUCUGACGUGCAAAUCGAUCGUCAAAUUUGGGUAUAGGGGCGAAAGACUAAUCGAACC
rnacentral:rRNA from 1 species